rnacentral:rRNA from 1 species
CGCGCAGGCGGUUUGGCAAGUCAGAUGUGAAAGCCCGGGGCUCAACCCCGGAAGUGCAUCUGAAACUGCCAAACUUGAGUAUGGGAGAGGGAAGUGGAAUUCCUGGUGUAGCGGUGAAAUGCGUAGAUAUCAGGAGGAACACCGGUGGCGAAGGCGACUUCCUGGACCAAUACUGACGCUGAGGCGCGAAGGCGUGGGGAGCAAACA